rnacentral:rRNA from 1 species
AUUGAACGCUGGCGGAAUGCUUUACACAUGCAAGUCGAACGGCAGCACGGACUUCGGUCUGGUGGCGAGUGGCGAACGGGUGAGUAAUGUAUCGGAACGUGCCCAGUCGUGGGGGAUAACGUAGUGAAAAUUACGCUAAUACCGCAUACGAUCUAUGGAUGAAAGCGGGGGAUCGCAAGACCUCGCGCGAUUGGAGCGGCCGAUAUCAGAUUAGGUAGUUGGUGGGGUAAAGGCCCACCAAGCCAACGAUCUGUAGCUGGUCUGAGAGGACGCCCAGCCACACUGGAACUGGAACACGGUCCAGACUCCUACGGGAGGCAGCAGUGGGGAAUUUAGGACGAUGGGCGAAAGCCUGAUCCAGCCAUGCCGCGUGCAGGAUGGAGGCCCUCGGGAUGUAAACUGCUUUUGUACAGAACGAAAAGGUUUCUACUAAUACUAGGAGCUCAUGACGGUACUGUAAGAAUAAGCACCGGCUAACUACGUGCCAGCCGCCGCCGUAA